ensembl:lncRNA
CAACAAUGUCCCUCCAGCUGCAUGUCACAGCAGUGUGACCGUUGCAAUGAUGCAAGCCAGUAAUUCUUUCCUGUAACAUUUUCCUCCCCCGCGUCUUCUCUCCUUCCUCUGACGUAGUUGCGCAUGAGGAUCGUGUCACCAGAAAUUAUGCAAAUCCUAAUUUCUACUUUUCAAAAUCUGCGUGAGUGACACGUCUUUACUCGUUACGGCAAAUUCCUCAAGUAGGGUUGGGUUUUCCGAUUGCACCAUGUUUUCACACAAUCAGUCGUUUUUAACUUUUUUUAUUUCUCAGGGGAUUUUUGUUCACGCCGGUUCUCGCUUGGUAAAGUAUUCCCAUUCUCUUAGCGCUGAUCCCAACCUAAUCGCUUUUUGAAUGUAUUCUCCCUCCUCAUGCUGGGUAGUUUUUUCCCAACGACAAACAGAAAGUAGACAUUUGUGACAACAGAAUACAUUAUUCUGUGAUCAGAUUACGCGGCGUUCCCCAUACAAACCUUUGGGGUGAAUCCAAACGACCCUACAGGUGUCCACUGAGGACAAAAUACACAUCUAAAUCUUAUAUUUACAUUUAUUGUGAUGGCACGAAUAUCAGAUCUACACAUCCUGGGUAAACAUUUUAUCAAUCCCCAAAAAUCACGUAAAAUAUUCCACCCUGACUCCUCCCAUCAGAUUGAUGUGUGAAGAACUUAUUAAGUAAAGUGCUCUGAUUAUCGGUUGUAUAAGAUGUAUCAAGGUAUUCAUUCAGUAAUGGCAAAAAUUAAAACUAAAGAUUCUGUACUGAGGCAAAGAUGGUUUGUUGGAGAGAAGAAAUGCGACUCCAUAACUGGAAAUAGACUGUGUGGGUUGUAGUUCAACAAAACAAAAUGGUUUGUCUGUAGGGAAUCUAAUAUGAUUGCACAAGGUUCAUAUCGACCUUUCCAUGAGAAUAUUUCAAAACGAUCCUUUUAAUAGUUCUGCAUCAGGACUUAAAGCGUUUGGAGCGGGUUGCUUGGUAAGCGGGUCGUAAAGUAAUUAAGCUUCAAUUGUUAUUUCAAUGUGCCAGAUUUAUUUAACAUUUAAUAACAUGUCAUAUUAAUACCGAUUUAUGUGUGAUUUGUAAAGUGUUUUCUUCCAUUUGAGUUUUAGUUCAUUAUUACUCUCAACUGAAAAAAGGAUUCUGAUUUUAUUUGUUGAUUUGAUACUGACUUCUUAUUCAAUGAAAUGUUAUAAAACUCCCCCAAAAAAUAGAGCAAUAAAAGGGAACACCAAGAAGAAAAAGCUGGAGAAGAGAAUGUAAAAGUGGGUAAAAGACGUGUCACUGCACGAUUUAAUUAAAAUGAAUGUAGUCCAAGUCUGGUGUCCUCCAGGGAGGCAAUGGGAGGAUGCAAGCUUCCUUGGAAAAGGAUAAAUAUUUUGCUGGAUCCAAAUGGAGACAUUUUGUGUUAUUUUUUUUGUCUAAGGAAAAAAGAAACCACCAAUUUAGCCGCCUACAAGACUCCUUGUUAAAUUUCAACUAAUCACACUACAUCCUCAGUGUCUCUCUCUCUGGUUCAGCUCCUUUCAAAUCAGGCAUGAUUCAUGAGGGAAGGAGAGGAACGGAGGGGAGGGGGUGUACGGAAUUGGGAUGCAUCCAGUAUCAAUAAGCUGUUUUGUUUAUGUUGCAUUCAAAGUAACGCAAAUAAUCUUCCUUUUUUUGGUUUCGUAGUAACUUCCGCUUCAUUGUUUUCUUGAAACGGUUGCAGCUCCAGGCUCGUUUCCCACAAUCUCUUUUUCAAAGUCACACUUGGGUUUGGGCUCCAGACCAAUACCUGCCCCUGCAUUAGUGGUUGAAACAGAGAAUACAAAACCGAUUCUCUACCUUCAUUGUGAUUUAUUUUCAGCGUUCCAGUUUCAAGUGACCAUCAGUCUUGAAGCAGUCCUCUAAAAUCCCCCCCUGCCCCCCCUCCUCCUCCCAACCCACUCACCCACCCACCUUCUAACCCACACACCAGAAAACAGUGUGUGAAGGAAAAAUGUAUCCUUUCACUCAAAUUCCUCCAGGAAUUAAUGCUGUAAAGCUAUACUCAAAUAUUUUAUGUCUUGUCACUAUGUAUAUCUGAUGUCUUAACAGCAUUUCCUUUGUGACAAUAAAGCAACCCAUGUGUCGCUAACACCAUCCUUUUUUAUCCAUCUUGCUAUUUUAUUUUUUAAAGAGAUGUUAAAAAGUAUGAUAGAGACUUGUUUUUUUGGAUUUGUGUGCAGUCUGUCUCUGGCUCCUUAUGUAUGCAUCAUUCUGCGCUUGUUUCUUAUGAUUGCGAAAAUGAAUCAUCAAGCAACCAAUUAAAAUAUUUCAUUUUUACAGACCUC